CUACGUGCCAGCAGCCGCGGUAAUACGUAGGGCGCGAGCGUUGUCCGGAAUUAUUGGGCGUAAAGGGCUUGUAGGCGGUUGGUCGCGUCUGCCGUGAAAUCCUCUGGCUUAACUGGGGGCGUGCGGUGGGUACGGGCUGACUUGAGUGCGGUAGGGGAGACUGGAACUCCUGGUGUAGCGGUGGAAUGCGCAGAUAUCAGGAAGAACACCGGUGGCGAAGGCGGGUCUCUGGGCCGUUACUGACGCUGAGGAGCGAAAGCGUGGGGAGCGAACAGGAUUAGAUACCCUGGUAGUCCACGCUGUAAACGUUGGGCACUAGGUGUGGGGGCCACCCGUGGUUUCUGCGCCGUAGCUAACGCUUUAAGUGCCCCGCCUGGGGAGUACGGCCGCAAGGCUAAAACUCAAAGGAAUUGACGGGGGCCCGCACAAGCGGAGGAACAUGUGGUUUAAUUCGAUGAUACGCGAGGAACCUUACCCGGGAUUGAA
rnacentral:rRNA from 1 species